rnacentral:tRNA from 1 species
GUGGUCCUGCGCGGUGGCCUGCGCGGCGUCCUCCGGGGGCGCGACGGGGCCGGGCGGAUCCCAGCCCUCGCGGCCCAGGGCCGCGAGGAACGCG